CUUAACACAUGCAAGUCGAGGGGCAGCAUGGUCUUAGCUUGCUAAGGCCGAUGGCGACCGGCGCACGGGUGAGUAACACGUAUCCAACCUGCCGUCUACUCUUGGACAGCCUUCUGAAAGGAAGAUUAAUACAAGAUGGCAUCAUGAGUCCGCAUGUUCACAUGAUUAAAGGUAUUCCGGUAGACGAUGGGGAUGCGUUCCAUUAGAUAGUAGGCGGGGUAACGGCCCACCUAGUCUUCGGUGGAUAGGGGUUCUGAGAGGAAGGUCCCCCACAUUGGAACUGAGACACGGUCCAAACUCCUACGGGAGGCAGCAGUGAGGAAUAUUGGUCAAUGGGCGAGAGCCUGAACCAGCCAAGUAGCGUGAAGGAUGACUGCCCUAUGGGUUGUAAACUUCUUUUAUAAAGGAAUAAAGUCGGGUAUGCAUACCCGUUUGCAUGUACUUUAUGAAUAAGGAUCGGCUAACUCCGUGCCAGCAGCCGCGGUAAUACGGAGGAUCCGAGCGUUAUCCGGAUUUAUUGGGUUUAAAGGGAGCGUAGAUGGAUGUUUAAGUCAGUUGUGAAAGUUUGCGGCUCAACCGUAAAAUUGCAGUUGAUACUGGAUAUCUUGAGUGCAGUUGAGGCAGGCGGAAUUCGUGGUGUAGCGGUGAAAUGCUUAGAUAUCACGAAGAACUCCGAUUGCGAAGGCAGCCUGCUAAGCUGCAACUGACAUUGAGGCUCGAAAGUGUGGGUAUCAAACAGGAUUAGAUACCCUGGUAGUCCACACGGUAAACGAUGAAUACUCGCUGUUUGCGAUAUACAGCAAGCGGCCAAGCGAAAGCGUUAAGUAUUCCACCUGGGGAGUACGCCGGCAACGGUGAAACUCAAAGGAAUUGACGGGGGCCCGCACAAGCGGAGGAACAUGUGGUUUAAUUCGAUGAUACGCGAGGAACCUUACCCGGGCUUAAAUUGCAGAUGAAUUACGGUGAAAGCCGUAAGCCGCAAGGCAUCUGUGAAGGUGCUGCAUGGUUGUCGUCAGCUCGUGCCGUGAGGUGUCGGCUUAAGUGCCAUAACGAGCGCAACCCUUGUUGUCAGUUACUAACAGGUUCCGCUGAGGACUCUGACAAGACUGCCAUCGUAAGAUGUGAGGAAGGUGGGGAUGACGUCAAAUCAGCACGGCCCUUACGUCCGGGGCUACACACGUGUUACAAUGGGGGGGUACAGAGGGCCGCUACCACGCGAGUGGAUGCCAAUCCCAAAAACCUCUCUCAGUUCGGACUGGAGUCUGCAACCCGACUCCACGAAGCUGGAUUCGCUAGUAAUCGCGCAUCAGCCACGGCGCGGUGAAUACGUUCCCGGGCCUUGUACACACCGCCCGUCAAGCCAUGGGAGCCGGGGGUACCUGAAGUGCGUAACCGCGAGGAGCGCCCUAGGGUAAAACUGGUGACUGGGGCUAAGUCAUAACA
rnacentral:rRNA from 1 species